AACGAACGCUGGCGGCAUGCCUAACACAUGCAAGUCGAACGAGACCUUCGGGUCUAGUGGCGCCCGGGUGCGUAACGCGUGGGAACCUGCCCUUAGGUUCGGAAUAACUCCCCGAAAGGGGUGCUAAUACCGGAUAAUGUCUUCGGACCAAAGAUUUAUCGCCUUUGGAUGGGCCCGCGUUGGAUUAGCUAGUUGGUAGGGUAAAAGCCUACCAAGGCGACGAUCCAUAGCUGGUCUGAGAGGAUGAUCAGCCACACUGAGACUGAGACACGGCCCAGACUCCUACGCGAGGCAGCAGUGGGUAAUAUUGGACAAUGGGCGAAAGCCUGAUCCAGCAAUGCCGCGUGAGUGAUGAAGGCCUUAGGGUUGUAAAGCUCUUUUACCCGGGAUGAUAAUGACAGUACCGGGAGAAUAAGCUCCGGCUAACUCCGUG
rnacentral:rRNA from 1 species